CGGAGGGGGCGAGUGUUGUUCGGAAUUAUUGGGCGUAAAGGGCGCGCAGGCGGCUUGGCAAGUCGAGUGUGAAAUCCCUUGGCUUAACUGAGGAAUGGCGCUCGAAACUACCUCGCUAGAGGGCGGGAGAGGGAAGUGGAACUCUCGGUGUAGGGGUGAAAUCUGUAGAUAUCGAGAGGAACACCGGUGGCGAAGGCGGCUUCCUGGCCCGCAUCUGACGCUGAGGCGCGAAAGCGUGGGGAGCAAACAGGAUUAGAUACCCUGGUAGUCCACGCCCUAAACGAUGGGCACUAGGUGUGGGCGGUAUUAAUCCCGCCUGUGCCGAAGCUAACGCAUUAAGUGCCCCGCCUGGGGAGUACGGUCGCAAGGCUG
rnacentral:rRNA from 1 species